rnacentral:ncRNA from 1 species
UUUAAAGCUAUGAAAGGAAAGAGUAAAUAUAAUGAUUCCGUAAAGCGAGCCGGGUAUGGUGGAAGCCGGUACGGAUAAUAUGUUGAAUGGGUCCUUGAGCUGCUUUUCGAAAUGAGUAGAAAAAGCCGUGUCCUGCGUUAAAGGUUAAGAGAGCUUAAAGCUAAAUUGGGUGGUACCGCGGGUUGCUUCUCGUCCCAUUG